UAGUCAUAAGUCCAAAUACAAAUAAAAACCAACAGGUAAAUAGCAGUAAGUAUCCAUUAGAUACCAUCGAACCCAUCAUUUUAACCGUAUUGAUAGGUAUCUUCAGGCACGUUUUAAACAAAAUAUGAUGAGUAGUAAUUUAAUUAUAACCAACGAAACCUAACUAAAUACCUUUUAUAAAGAAUCUAUACUAGUUGUACAAGAGCAAACGUUUCGCAGAGACAACAAAGUAAAAGUACAGAAUCUCCUCAAAUGUUAAAGAAAAAAGGAGAAUUAAAAGAAAAACAUUAAAAGAAAGCCUUAAAAAACCGUGUUAAACUAGAUCUGGGAUAGUAUUGCCCUAUUUUGAAAGUUUUCCCGUUACUGGGAUUUUAUGAGGUCAAGGAAGCUCGCCUUUGAGAGCUCUUUGACUUUUUGCUCACGAGCAGUACGACCACCAGAGAUGUUUUCUCUAUUUAAAGAGCUUUGAAGUUGAGCAGUACGAACAGCAUUGAAUAAUUGAACUACACCUCUGCGAGCAAUACGGCGAAGCUCACGUUCAUGGGUGAAUAAAGCUUUUGCUGUUUCAGCGUUAACUGCAACAACGCUCGUAACACGACCAACCAUCUCUUUUCUCAAUCUUUCACGUCUUCUAGAAGUACGUAGUUUAGAGUCUUUUUUUUCCGCAUUACUUUUUCGUAAAGCUUUUUUAGAUUUUUUAGACAAACUUAGAACCGGCGUGUCUUGUUCAUCAGUUUGAGUAACUUGUUGAUUUAAGAUAUCAGCAAUGUCAUCAGCAAUGGUACUUUCUUGAACUUCUUCUUCAAUUUCAUCUUCAGAACUAUUGGAUUGAUAAAAUUCGUCUUCGCUGUUCAAGUCUUCCAACUCUUCCUCAGAGUUUUCGCUAUCAUCUUUUACAAAUUUUUUAGAGGAAUCAUCUUCUUGAGAGACAAAUGAUAUAUCUUCGUUUUUUAUUUGAGAUCUUUGUGAUUUCGCCAUUAAUGUGUUGUUGUCUAAAUUUGAAAUUUUUUGACUGGAACCACCAAGUAAAGCAUGGUCUCCAAAAAAUGCACAAUAUCAAUUUGAAGCGCCUAGUUCGUUCUAAUAGAAUAAAACUGAUAUUCUGUUUCUUUAAUUAUAUAAAAAAAAUUUAAUUUUAUUUUAGGUAGUUUAGUUCAAUUUGGCGAACACUAAAAUAUUAUAAAUUUGCUCAGUAUAAUAGGAAUGGGAAUAAUUGGAAAUUUCUGACCAAAAAAACACUAAUAAAGCUCAAAGCUUGAUACGUUCAUGCUUAUGACCACGAACAGGGGCUACUCGUAUUAAAGUAAAAUAAACUAGAAUGGGUUUCAUCCAGUCUCAAAAUAGGGCUGGGCUGGUAACACAAGAAACAAAUGCUUAAUAAAAGGUAAUUAUUAAAUAAAUAUUGAUGAGAGGGGGUAAGAAUAAGAAUUAGGAAAACCUAACAGCUGUGAGACAGUAAUAAUUAAUAUUAGAAAUCAUGCACACAUCUCAAGGAAACUGAUUAACCUUGGAUUGUCGUUAAAAAAAUAAAGACUUUGAUCGUUUUCUUGAGUAUAUACACAACGGAUAAAUUAGUUCAGCCAUUUGCGAACAAUUUCGAAACUGAGGAAGGUAACCGAACUGGCAGGUAUGGUGCGUAUAAAAUUUGUUGCCAUGCCAGAGUAAUAUUUUCUCCAACCCUCUGAACGCCAUAUGUCUCGAAUAAGUAAGGUAGCCGAGUUGUGUGUAGGUGCAUCCAAACUCUGCAACCGAGUUCUCAAAACUUCAUGAGGAUAAGUGACGGUAGAAGCUGCGAUUUUAGACAAAGUAGCUGCUAACACUAUAUGAAAGUUGCUUUUUUUACCAAAAAAAUCAUCCAAAAAUGAUUUAAAAUAUUCGUACAGUGGAAAUUGGAUGCCAACAUGCAAUGUACCAAAUAAAGAGGGGAAAAGACCUCGGUAAAAUGCUGCAAGGCCUUCGUAUUUAUAAAUUUUUCGAAAUGCGUCAAAUGUGUUGUUGUAUGCAGGUGAACAUGCAGGGCCUGUGGGAGGAUUCACUGGAUGCUGUGAUGGAGAAGAUUUGACAUUCGUCCUACGCUUGAGCCAAAAGCGAGGCAUUCUCCAUUUGACGGAUGGUGCGUCCGUUUGAAGAUUACGAAACUGGACGGUUGUAGCCGCAGCAAUUUUAUCUACAAAAGAAGAAGCCCUAGGAUGUGAUUGAGUGACUAACCUUGUUUUUACAACCCAAAUGGGGUUAGUAAGAGUGACACUUGCAGCACCGGCGAUAACCGCAGAAAAGAUUUGACCACCCCAGUAACGAUAAAAUUGUUUGUCAGAACUAUCUAAGGAAGCCUUGAUGCCAACCUUGGACGAAUCAAUUUCGUGGAGAGAAGUGUAUUUUUUAUUUACCCCAAAUAGCACUUUGCAUUUUUCAUAGACUACAAAAUAAAUGGACCAACUAGGAAGAUAACCUAACAUCAUGGGUCCAACACCUCUAUAAAGACCGGCGAUGCCUUCAUUGUGAAAAAUUGUUCGCAUCGAACUGAGGGUCCCACCCAAAACCAUUGUAUUUUUUCCACCACCAGUUGAAUAAAAAGCCUUUUGUGCCUGCUUUCUUGUUUUUACUACAUCUAAAGGUGCCACUACAAGAGAAGAGGCCAAUCCAGCAGCUCCUCCUGCUAUAGCAUCCUUUAGAGAAUCAUCAACCAUAAAGACGGAUCAAUUUCCUGAUGAUAAUGCAUGCAUCUAAAGAAAACAGCAAUUAAAUAAUAGACCUUGACAAAUUCUUUACUUUUUUAGACGCUGAUAAGAACGAUCCAACGCC